GUUAAUCUCACUGCAUUAUCUUCUACACUUUUCUCAGGUUGAACAAGAGAUCGGAGAUAAAAUUCCUCAGAGAAAAAAGUCACGGUUCUUUUCUCUUUCGCUCUCUCGAGAUCUCAAACAAUUUUGAUCGGUUUCUUCUGCCGUGAUCCGCCAAAACACGUCGUCGUCGGCGAGGUUGGAAGGACUAACGUCUCCGUGAACGAUGCCUUCACCGCGAUCUGCAACAAGUACGACCGAUACGACAUCUACAAGUAGAAAGACUCUAACGUCUCCGGUGCCGAUGCCUUCGCUCGCCUCUACUCCACCAUCGAGUCCGACAUUGAAGCUGCUCUUCAGAAAGCGGAGCUUGCUUCAAAAGAAAAAAGUAUGGCAUCUGCAGGUGCUCUGACUGCCAAGAUUCGCCGGACCAAGGCUCCAUUGCUUGAAGAGGUUCCCAAGUUGCAGAGAUUGGCUGUAAAGAAGUCCUCUGCAUAUAUGCUAGAACUUGUUUAGCGCUGGAAGGUGAUUUUGGAUGGGUAUUGAUUGGACAAAAGAUGAUUGCUUUUGAAGAGAAUUCUUGGCAGGUAAAUGAAUAUACAUAUGCCUAUUGAUUUCUCCGCUUGUAUGCAUCUCAUAUCUACAUCCUGCUAAUUAGCUCAUGAAUGGUGUGGCCUUCAAUUUCUGAUGGUCUCCAUAGGAAAUGGAAUUUGUGAAAUAACCUACCAUGUUUUGUG